rnacentral:rRNA from 1 species
CCCUUAGAUGUUCUGGGCAGCACGCGCGCUACAAUGGUCUUCGCAAACGGAUGCAUUCUCGAAGGAGAAUGCCAAUCUUGGAAUCUAUGCCUUGGUCGGGACAGUUGCUUGCAAUUUUUCGACUCGAACCAGGAAAUCCUUGUAAUCGUGAUUCAUCACAUCACGAUGAAUACGUCCCUGCCCUUUGUACACACCGCCCGUCGCUCCUACCGAUCGAAGAGUUAGGUGAAUUGUUUUGAUCGAUAAGAUUUGACUAUGGUCAACUCUCGUUGUGAAAUUCUGUGAAUCUGACUGUUUAGAGGAAGGAAAAGUCGUAACA